AAUCAACGCUGGCGGCGUGCCUCAGACAUGCAAGUCGAACGAUUAAAGCUCUCUUCGGAGAGUGUAUAGAGUGGCGCACGGGUGAGUAACACGUAAGUAAUCUACCCUCGAGUGGGGAAUAACGUCCGGAAACGGACGCUAAUACCGCAUAAUGCAGCGGCACCGCAAGGUGACAGUUGUUAAAGGAGAAAUUCGCUUGAGGAGGAGCUUGCGGCAGAUUAGCUUGUUGGUAAGGUAACGGCUUACCAAGGCUACGAUCUGUAACCGGUCUUAGAGGACGGUCGGUCACACUGACACUGAAUAACGGGUCAGACUCCUACGGGAGGCAGCAGUCGGGAAUUUUGGGCAAUGGGCGAAAGCCUGACCCAGCAACGCCGCGUGAAGGAUGAAGUAUUUCGGUAUGUAAACUUCGAAAGAUAGGAAGAAUAAUGACGUACUAUUUAUAAGGUCCGGCUAACUACGCG
rnacentral:rRNA from 1 species